GGGCCAUAGCUCAGUGACAGAGCGUCUGCUUUGCACGCAGAAGGUCCUGUGUUCAGUGCCCAGCAUCUCCA